AUUGAACGCUGGCGGCAUGCUUUACACAUGCAAGUCGAACGGCAGCGCGGGCUUCGGCCUGGCGGCGAGUGGCGAACGGGUGAGUAAUGCAUCGGAACGUGCCCAGUAGUGGGGGAUAGCCCGGCGAAAGCCGGAUUAAUACCGCAUACGACCUGAGGGUGAAAGCGGGGGACCGAAAGGCCUCGCGCUAUUGGAGCGGCCGAUGUCGGAUUAGCUAGUUGGUGGGGUAAAGGCUUACCAAGGCGACGAUCCGUAGCUGGUCUGAGAGGACGACCAGCCACACGGGGAAUGAGACACGGCCCAGACUACUACGGGAGGCAGCAGUGGGGAAUUGUGGACAAGGGGCGCAAGCAUGAUCCAGCCAUGCCGCGUGAAGGAUGAAGGCGUUCGGGUUGUAAAAGGCUGUGGUACGGAAAGAAAAGCAUUCUGGUAAUACAGGAGGGUCAUGAAGGUACCGUAAGAAUAAGCACCGGAUAACUACGUG
rnacentral:rRNA from 1 species